UACGUAGGGGGCAAGCGUUGUCCGGAUUUAUUGGGCGUAAAGAGCGUGUAGGCGGCCAUACAGGUCAGCUGUGAAAACUCGAGGCUCAACCUCGAGACGUCGGUUGAAACCGUAUGGCUAGAGUCCGGAAGAGGAGAGUGGAAUUCCCGGUGUAGCGGUGAAAUGCGCAGAUAUCGGGAAGAACACCCGUGGCGAAGGCGGCUCUCUGGGACGGUACUGACGCUGAGACGCGGAAGCGUGGGGAGCGAACAGG
rnacentral:rRNA from 1 species